UACGUAGGGGCCUAGCGUUGUCCGGAAUCAUUGGGCGUAAAGAGCGCGUAGGCGGCCCGGUAAGUCCGCUGUAAAAGUCAAAGGCUCAACCUUUGAAUGUCAGUGGAUACUGCCGGGCUAGAGUCCGGAAGAGGCGAGUGGAAUUCCUGGUGUAGCGGUGGAAUGCGCAGAUAUCAGGAGGAACACCAACGGCGAAGGCAGCUCGCUAGGACGGUACUGACGCUGAGGCGCGAAAGCGUGGGGAGCGAAUAGG
rnacentral:rRNA from 1 species